rnacentral:RNase_MRP_RNA from 2 species
ACUUAAAAUGAACAAAAGCCCUAGGUUACACACAAGAGACUGGUUCCUUGUUCUUCUGCCUAGGGGAAGUCCCCGGACCUCGGGCAGAGAGUGCUGCGUGCACCCACACUUAGACGUCCCUCUGUUUCUCACUGUUAAAACUAAAACCCGCCAAGAAGCAAAUCUCCCUGAGCGGCAUGGCGCAGAGGCAUUGUCUGUCAACUCCACCAGUAAACACAGGCAGUGCGUGUCUUAGCGCGCCGACCACACUGGGCUCAUUCUCAG